UACAUGUGGGGCAAGCGUUGUUCGGAAUUACUGGGCAUAAAGGGUGCGUAGGCGGUUUGUUAAGUCAGGGGUGAAAGUUUUCGGCCCAACCGGAAAAUGGCCUCUGAUACUGGCGAACUCGAGUGCGUGAGGGGUAACCGGAACGAGUGGUGUAGCGGUGAAAUGCGUAGAUAUCACUCGGAAGGCCAAAGGCGAAGGCAGGUUACUGGUACGCAACUGACGCUGAGGCACGAAAGCGUGGGGAGCGAACAGG
rnacentral:rRNA from 1 species